rnacentral:rRNA from 1 species
GACGAACGCUGGCGGCGUGCUUAACACAUGCAAGUCGAACGGUGAAAGCGGAGCUUGCUCCGCUGGAUCAGUGGCGAACGGGUGAGUAACACGUGGGCAACCUGCCCCUCACUUCGGGAUAACUCCGGGAAACCGGGGCUAAUACCGGAUAUGACCUCCUUGGGCAUCCUUGGGGGUGGAAAGUUUUUCGGUGAGGGAUGGGCCCGCGGCCUAUCAGCUUGUUGGUGAGGUAGUGGCUCACCAAGGCGACGACGGGUAGCCGGCCUGAGAGGGCGACCGGCCACACUGGGACGGAGACACGGCCCAGACUCCUACGGGAGGCAGCAGUGGGGAAUAUUGCGCAAUGGGCGGAAGCCUGACGCAGCAACGCCGCGUGCGGGAUGACGGCCUUCGGGUUGUAAACCGCUUUCAGCAGGGAAGAAGCCGCAAGGUGACGGUACCUGCAGAAGAAGCACCGGCUAACUACGUGCCAGCCGCCGCCGUAA